rnacentral:rRNA from 1 species
CCCUUAGAUGUUCUGGGCCGCACGCGCGCUACACUGAUGCAUUCAACGAGCCUAUCCUUGACCGACAGGUCCGGGUAAUCUUUGAAUCUGCAUCGUGACGGGGAUAGAUUAUUGCAAUUAUUAAUCUUCAACGAGGAAUGCCUAGUAGGCGCAAGUCAUCAGCUUGCGUCGAUUACGUCCCUGCCCUUUGUACACACCGCCCGUCGCUCCUACCGAUUGAGUGGUCCGGUGAGGCCUUGGGAGGGCUAAGUGGGCUGUGUUUCACAGACUACCUGGCCCGAACCUGGUCAAACCUUAUCACUUAGAGGAAGGAGAAGUCGUAACA